GAUGAACGCUGGCGGCGUGCCUAAUACAUGCAAGUCGAGCGAACGGACGAGAAGCUUGCUUCUCUGAUGUUAGCGGCGGACGGGUGAGUAACACGUGGAUAACCUACCUAUAAGACUGGGAUAACUUCGGGAAACCGGAGCUAAUACCGGAUAAUAUUUUGAACCGCAUGGUUCAAAAGUGAAAGACGGUCUUGCUGUCACUUAUAGAUGGAUCCGCGCUGCAUUAGCUAGUUGGUAAGGUAACGGCUUACCAAGGCAACGAUGCAUAGCCGACCUGAGAGGGUGAUCGGCCACACUGGAACUGGGACACGGUCCAGACUCCUACGGGAGGCAGCAGUAGGGAAUCUUCCGCAAUGGGCGAAAGCCUGACUGAGCAACGCCGCGUGAGUGAUGGAGGUCUUCGGAUCGUAAAACUCUGUUAUUAGGGAAGAACAUAUGUGUAAGUAACUGUGCACAUCUUGACGGUACCUAAUCAGAAAGCCACGGCUAACUACGUG
rnacentral:rRNA from 1 species